ensembl:lncRNA
GGAAUUUUGGAGGCUUCUGAGGACUUGGAUAAUUUCAGAACAGUAUUAAAUCAGUUUGAUUCCAACUGACAUCAUUCGUUAUACUUCAUUCUAUAUUCUCUUUGAUUAUUAUGUAAGUGAAGCUGUUUCCAAAGUUGUCUUAGAGUUGUCCUCAUAGACCAGAUUUUAGUGAGAUAACUGGUUCUGAUUCUGUAACUCCAGUUCUGAGCUUAGACUGAGAUGUUCCUGUUACAGAACAGGUCUGGGUUCUGCAGUCCAACAUCAUGUAUGUGUACUGGCAAAAAAUCUCCUUACGCUUUCUGCAACAGUGUUAUGCAUUAGAAUCCAAACACGGAUGGCGUGAGAGGGCUGCCGGGUUGAUCUUUCUUAUUAUCCCUUUUGUUUGCCUUUUAAAUAUAAUCUUCAGCACUACAUCUUUGUAUUUUGUAUAGAGAAGUGAAGGUAAAUUCAGCCUGUCUGCAUUUUCAUCUCAGCUAACUGUGGCAGCUUUUCUUCCAAAGCUGCCCAGGAGCCUAAUUCAUUUAAAUUCUGACUUCAGAGAAAGAAUUGAUACCCCCACAGGUGAGGGUUAUUCUGAGCAGGUUUUGUAGAUAUGUGUGCUUAUAUUUGCUUUCUUUCAUCCUAAUAAACUUACUUUCUGCCAAGAAAAAUGCUGAAAACAUUUAAAACAUUAUAAACACUGAAGCAAAGUUAAGGCAAGAGAUGUGCUCAGCCUUUUCUGAUGAGGGGCUAGGGGCUGAAGUGAGGGCUAACUACCAAAACCCUUCCCACAAGUAUGAUAGUAUUUUCACACAUGGGUGAUGCCAAAAUGGCUCAGAUAUAGCUGCAGGUAGUACUGUGUAUGUAAACUGCUUCAAUGGUUUGCAGUAUCUCACAAUAGAUUUUUCCAGCACCUAGGGAUAGCGGUUCAGGUUCAUUCAAAAAGCAGUUCUUAACAGGCAGCAGUGGCACCACAGUGCUGGUGCUAUGUGGAGCGCCGUAUCGUUUUCUGGCAGACACAGCAGAGCAGUCUUUGCCCCAGCCCUGUAGGCAGUGCUCUGUGCCAAGCCCAGGGCACCACAGCACCCUGCAGGCUGAGCCCCUGGUCAGGUCAAGAGUGAAAGCUGCCUUUCACAGUGUAGAAGGCUUCCUAGGCUGAGCAGGAACAUCUGUCCCAGAUGGAGACAAAAGGGUGACUUGGGGAAAAGUAUAAAUCAUAGCCCUUUAAAAACAAAACAAAAAAUCUUUCCUCUUUAACUCCAUACAGAUUAGCCACAAAGUUGGGUUUUCAUUCCAGGUUCUCCACUAAGUAGAAGCAGUCCUGCACUUACACUAAUAUAAAACUAUUUCUAGGUGGCUUCAGAGGAGAACUCAUCACUGUGCAAACACUGUGCUCCGAGGAGGUACCAGAGCUUCUGAGCAGCUUUCCUUCUUUGCAGGGAGGAUCUGGUUGCAGCACUUUGUCUGCUUUCAUCAGGUAGUUCACUGAAGUGCUGGCUGUGCCCUGCAUGGCUCGCUUGCUGUCUGCAGCUACCGUCCUGAGAACUAACUGUACUGAAAGCACUUAGAGAUGGAAUGAACGUAAUGGAGACGUGGUUUGCUGUUCACUGUGAAUAUCCAGCUUGGAUAGUUGGAAUAACUGCAAGGGAAGAAUUGCCUUUGCAAAUCAUGUGCCUGAUACACUGUCUGAAUAGUAUUUCAGCCCUCACUGUUUAGUGAACGAGGACAUUAAGAUGCCCACAAAUGGAAGUGGAAUGAUUGAUUCCCAGGAAUAGUUUAACAGUCACAAAUGCAGUUUUUCAGGCUUCUUGCUGAACACUAGCCAAGUAAUAAGGCUUCAUUUAAACAGAUGAACUUUUAUUGUAGACUUAUACCUGAUUUCCUGCUUUCCUUUACUGACCACCAGAUGUUUUUCCAUAUCACAUGAAUUUUUGUUUACCUUAAAGCUGAUCUGUAGAUAUGCAUGAAACAGCAGCUAGCGUGGACAUGAAGUCUGAGCAUUCCUCAUACUUAGGGUGAGUCUUGUGAAACCUUUUCAGCAGCCAAAAGUCUUGAGCCUUUCACUGACAUAAGACAACUAAAAUAUCAGCAAAAUUGGUUCUGCUGUCAAUAAAAUCACCAAUUAACACUUGACUUGGGUUUGGGGCUUCUGAAUAGUAUAUACAUAUGUAACACUACAUACACAAACUUUUGUAGAACACAAAAAUGAAUGAUCCAGCUUAAGGUUAGUUCCUCUAAAUAGAUGGAGAGAGUAUCCACUUAACCACAUAGCCUAAACACAAUGAAGAUGGGGAAAAAGCUGUCUAUUUUCAACUGUGUUUAUUUUUUCACCGAUAAAAAUAAAAAGAGAAGAAAAAUAAUCAUAGUGCCUAUGACAAAGAUUGUGUUUCAAGGAGUGUGCAAUGUAUACCACUAUUAUUUUGACUGCAAAUGAAAACCGCUUUUGAACUGACUGUGGUUCAAGAGAAAUUAACAUAGAAAAACUGUCACACAGCAUUCCAGGAAAUGUUUUGGUUCAGUAUGUUUGGCCUCCGUUUUUGUGGAGCUGUACAUUCCUGUCCAUGGUUUUAAAGGAUAAAAAAAAAGAACUGAUUUCAGAAUCAAUGUGUAUUUUGACUCAUUUUUAUGUUUCUGAUGCCCAGACUGGUUUAUGCACGUGUGUAAGCAAAGGUGAGCGGUGUCAUUUUCC